rnacentral:rRNA from 1 species
UGAGGAAUAUUGGGUCAAUGGACGCAAGUCUGAACCAGCCAAGUAGCGUGCAGGAUGACGGCCCUAUGGGUUGUAAACUGCUUUUAUAGGGGGAUAAAGUGUGCCACGUGUGGCAUAUUGCAGGUACCCUAUGAAUAAGGACCGGCUAAUUCCGUGCCAGCAGCCGCGGUAAUACGGAAGGUCCGGGCGUUAUCCGGAUUUAUUGGGUUUAAAGGGAGCGUAGGCCGUCUUAUAAGCGUGUUGUGAAAUGUCGUGGCUCAACCUGGGCAUUGCAGCGCGAACUGUGAGACUUGAGUGCGCAGGAAGUAGGCGGAAUUCGUCGUGUAGCGGUGAAAUGCUUAGAUAUGACGAAGAACUCCGAUUGCG